CAGGAAGCAGCUUGCUGCUUCGCUGACGAGUGGCGGACGGGUGAGUAAUGUCUGGGAAACUGCCUGAUGGAGGGGGAUAACUACUGGAAACGGUGGCUAAUACCGCAUAACGUCGCAAGACCAAAGAGGGGGACCUUCGGGCCUCUUGCCAUCAGAUGUGCCCAGAUGGGAUUAGCUUGUUGGUGAGGUAACGGCUCACCAAGGCGACGAUCCCUAGCUGGUCUGAGAGGAUGACCAGCCACACUGGAACUGAGACACGGUCCAGACUCCUACGGGAGGCAGCAGUGGGGAAUAUUGCACAAUGGGCGCAAGCCUGAUGCAGCCAUGCCGCGUGUAUGAAGAAGGCCUUCGGGUUGUAAAGUACUUUCAGCGGGGAGGAAGGUGUUGUGGUUAAUAACCGCAGCAAUUGACGUUACCC
rnacentral:rRNA from 1 species